AUCCUUCCUCUUGUAGCCCUCUCGCGAGGAUCUGUCAUUUUAAAUACUUGCUCUGCAAAGAAACUGCUCUUGACCGUGGUUCCAGGGCAAUGCCUUUGCUCUCACAGGUCUCUGUGUUUAGUGGCUCCCUUUUGCAGACCCGUGACAGCAUUUCAAAUGCCAAAGCUAAAAUGUGAGCUCCUGCCUCGAUCUUCUCCCUCUGGCAAAACCCACCUGGGUCAGUGGGAGUUUUGCCUCCUGAAGGGCUUCAGCACUGCCCGGGGUACUCACUUUAUCAGCACUAUUUCUUAGAAACGUGCUGCUUUGAUUAUAGGAAGGAUUUGUGUGUCUCUGUCCCAGUAAGGGGAGACAUGAUGGGCUCUCCCAGAGCUCCCCAGCACACUCCUCCUCACCCAGCAUCAGGAGGGUGGCAAAGAUGCAGGAGGUUCCCUGUGGUGUCCUGUCAGGUGGACUCGUUGCAAUGAGGAGCUCCACCUGGGUUUAAUUUUGCAGAGAAUGUGAUAUUUCUUUAAUUAAACAGCAGCAGGUGUGAAAGUGAAACCAGCAAGCGGGAGGUGAUGAAGGCUGCUCCCCACUAAAAUUGACCUGUUCACCUCCACCUCCUUAGUUUUAUUUUGGUUUAAGUUUUGGAGCAGCGAAGCAGAGCACAAAAUGUAUUCCAGCCAAAAUCCCCUAUGCAGCCGCUUCCUGGUGGGGCUCAAAAAGAUACCCAGCGCAACAAGGGAUGCAGGGAUCUGAAAUACCUACUGGCCAUGGCUGAAGCCCGCAUUUCCCCGUGCUGCUAAGGGCUCGUGCUCGCAGGGCACGUCUCCCAGCCAGCAUGAAGCCAGCUGGUUUGUCCAUCUCCUGCGGAUGUUCCCCACCAGUAAGGGCAGCACCAGAGCGCUGGCUGCUGGGGAGGUGUUCACGGUGUGGCACUGCCAGCAGGGCUCUGUGCCGCCGGCACACGGGCAGUGCCUCCAAGGUGCCCCCUCUGCUCCAAAGCCACGCAGCGUUGACCAAGCUCCACCAGUUGGCUAUGCAGCAAACCCCCUUUACUCCCCUUGGACAGACCACCCCCGCUUUCCCUGGUACGUACCCACACGCCCUUUCUAGAUAUCCUUCUCUUCUUACCUGUAGAGUUUCUCUCUCUUUCUGAUCUCGU
rnacentral:lncRNA from 1 species